CAGAGUUUAUUCAUAUACUGAGCUCAAUAAAGAAUAAGCAUUAAAUGACACCAAAAUGAGUCGAAUGCCCUUCCGAAAAAUAUGUUAACAUAUCGUGAAGCUGCAUGCCCUGCAGGGAAUUUGGUCGGCCGAUGAUUAAUUAUUUGUAUACCACCCCGGGUUGUGUGUCGUAGUUUUAUGACACCAACGUUCAGCUCGCCCACAGUCCUGGUUGCCAAUCACUUUCGACACUAGGGUACAAGCUGUGGCGUAAAUUAAUUCCACUUUCAACUCCAAUACGGGGAGCUUCUGAUCCUCCAUGGUGUGUGGCUUUGGGCGGCAUGUCUAAUUUUAGCAAAUUAAUAUGGAAUCAAUUGAAAGCACAAGGAAAAGCGAUACUGAGAGAACGAGUACGAAUGGUGCUGCUGACUAUCAUCACACGCUGCAAGUGAAACUACACUUCAACAAACGGAAGCAUGGUUUGGAAACCAUUCCGAGAGUGUAUCAUUUAUUCAACAUCGAUUAAAAAGUAAAUCAUAUAGGCGAAUGAAAAGGCGAUGACGCAUAAUGCGGGUCUGGUUAUAUGAGGUCUUCAGCAUUGCAAUUGGUAUGGCGCUAGCACCAAACACCGCACAAGUCACAAAAUCCCUGUCACACAUUUGUCCAACCCGAUAACAUGUAAGACAAACUGUACUGUACGAGAUCAUUCAUUUAUACUUCAUAAUUGACUUAUGUUAUGCCUUAAGAAAACGUUGGUACUAUUGACGCUGCAAUGGUGGAGGUAAGAAUGACAUUAGCACAUUAUCACGCUAUUUGCCGCUUUACAAUCCACACUUAACAGUGAAGCGAUAAACAUGAUAUAAUAAGGCGCGCACUGCACCUGCUUAUCGGUCGAGCACUUCUUAUCAGGUGGCCACCGUGUACACCGUGUACUUAACCGUGUUGAUAAGCAAAAAAAUUGUGAUGGAUUUCUUAAAAGCGUUUUGGUUCUAACACGUCAUCACUCGCGCGCUAACUUUCCACGCCGUCUUUUCUACAUGCUGCAAAAACGCAGCCGCUUUAUGCUAACACACACGCUCAACAGCUAAAGGUUGUUACAAAACCGUCAAUCGUAAAUCAAAACGUUUGAAAUAAGCAACCGAGCACACACUAUGUCGUAUAUGGCUAUC